rnacentral:rRNA from 1 species
GCACAAGCGGUGGAGCAUGUGGUUUAAUUCGACGCAACGCGAAGAACCUUACCAGGGCUUGACAUCCCCUGACCGCGUAUGAAAGUACGUUUUCACCCUCGGGUGACAGGGAGACAGGUGGUGCAUGGUUGUCGUCAGCUCGUGUCGUGAGAUGUUGGGUUAAGUCCCGCAACGAGCGCAACCCCUACGUUUAGUUGCUAACGCGUGAAGGCGAGCACUCUAGACGAACUGCCGUUGACAAAACGGAGGAAGGUGGGGAUGACGUCAAAUCAUCAUGCCCCUUAUGUUCUGGGCUACACACGUGCUACAAUGGCCGGUACAGACGGAGGCGAAGCCGCGAGGCGGAGCAAAUCCGAAAAAGCCGGUCUCAGUUCGGAUUGCAGGCUGCAAUUCGCCUGCAUGAAGUCGGAAUCGCUAGUAAUCGCAGGUCAGCAUACUGCGGUGAAUACGUUCCCGGGCCUU